UAAGAAGGGUGCAAGCGUUAAUCGGAAUUACUGGGCGUAACGCGCGCGUAGGUGGUUCGUUAAGUUGGAUGUGAAAGCCCCGGGCUCAACCUGGGAACUGCAUCCAAAACUGGCGAGCUAGAGUAUGGCAGAGGGUGGUGGAAUUUCCUGUGUAGCGGUGAAAUGCGUAGAUAUAGGAAGGAACACCAGUGGCGAAGGCGACCACCUGGGCUAAUACUGACACUGAGGUGCGAGAGCGUGGGGAGCACACAGGAUUAGAUAACAGGGUAGACC
rnacentral:rRNA from 1 species